rnacentral:lncRNA from 1 species
AAUCAUAGCAGAUUCAGAGACUUCAGCACAGCCACGUGGUGGAAGAUGAUUUAUGGACGGCAAAAGGAAAGUGACGUACAGAAAACAGAAGUGAGCUUCAGUUUGUCAGAACCAGUUGGGAUGCAACAGGAUUUUCAGUUUUGCUGCCUUCCAUGCAUGAAUGGCUGUUGGAAUGACCAAGAUGAUUUUUCCACCCAUUCUUGGGACCUGGACUAUGAUGGCCACAGCAGCUAAAGAUGCCAGAUACUCCUUCAGGUUCUGCAUACUAUGAAACUACUACAUCAGCAGGUCCAAAGGACUCCACUGACUCAACUGAUCUGAGGGACCCCAUGAGAAGCCUACUCAUCAAAGAAUGCAGUUUCUAAAUCCUGAUGAGUUCACCCCCCUUGCCCUGACCAAUCAACAAUCCUAAUUCUCCAGUCCCUUGCCCUCCAUGAUCCUCUUAAAAACCCUAGCCCAGAAUUCCUCAGGAAGAUGGAUUUGAGGGUCUCCUUCCAACUCCUCACUCAGCGCCCUGUGGUCAUUAAACUUUCUCUGC